UGUGUAAUCUAUUGGCAAAUUUGGGAUGAAGAAACCAGAGUACACAAUGGCAGACUUCUCAAUUUUCAGUUAAAACUAAAUUGUUUGUGAAUACAUUGUUUCUGGAUCUUCAUGAGGGUACAAAAGGGAUACAAUAUAUGUUUCUGAAGGUUUUAAACUUGAUUCAUUGAAAUUGCUUUAGAUAAAAACUUUAGGGAGGAAAGACAUAAUUUACGUGUACUUGAAUAUGGUCCGUUUGAUUUGCUAAGAAGUGAGGGAUUUUGUUUUGUUCCAUCAUGUUUGAUUUUUAAAUGGUCAUAGGCAAAACAGAUGUAGAGAUGAGGCAUAGGACAAAACUUAAAAAUUUUAUCACACAUAUAUAUUUAAAUACUUAAUACACAAUAUUGAGAUGAUUACAAUAUGGUGUUGUAUCUCAGUGUACAUAUGCAGCCAUUAAGUUAUUUGCAUUUUGUGUUGUAUGCGUAUGUUGAUGUUGGCUACACUGAAAGACGUGCCACUCCUAAUUGCAACAUUGGAUAUAUGAUUGAAAUGAUUUUAUUGAGGCAAAAGGCAUUCACUGAUAUCCCAUGCUUUGAAUUAUUUUCAGCACUUAUUCACUUAUUUCAAUUUAGGAAUGCCCGUCGGAAUUGCGAGAAGCCAUUGCAAGUAUAAUUUUUGCUGCUCCUAGAUGUUCUGAUAUA